GAGCCCUAAUGUUCUCUAACCCUUUCUUAUUUAUAGGCUUCCCUUUAAGACUAACUAACAACCCACGUGACUAACAACCCAAGUGAUAUGCAAUACUAUCAUGAUCUUUUUCACACAACAGUAGAUGGCGUCUUUUACACAGUGACUGGAUGGUCCAUGUAUCCUCUGUUUGUAUGUCUUUUCUUUGAUUCCAGAUAUUCUUGCAGCCUCAAGUUCUUCUAGCUUUAUUCAUCUUUUCACUAAUGGAUUUGCUUCCCAUCCAAGAAAGGAAACAGAAUGGGAAACUGGCCCAACAGGGACACAGGGUGACAGAGAGAUUGAAUAACUCAACAAUUAAGGUGAUGAUGGAGGCCAAAGAAUUUGGUAAAUUAAACGAUGAAUUUCCAACUGAAGGGAGAGAAAGGAUGCCUCAUGGUAGAAGCUACUAGCCACUGAGUCUUCUAUGAGGAUUUUAGUUUAAUUGAUAAUUACUCCAUAGAACUUGACAAGCUUUAAUUAUGAUAUGUUAGUUAUUUAUAGCCUUUUCUUUUUUUA